UACAGUCAGGAUGGCUAAAGGUGACCCCAAGAAACCAAAGGGCAAGAUGUCUGCUUAUGCCUUCUUUGUGCAGAUGUGCAGAGAAGAACAUAAGAAGAAAACCCCAGAGGUCCCUGUCAAUUUUGCAGAAUUUUCCAGGAAGUGCCCUGAGAAGCGGAAGAUAAUGUCUGGGAAAGAGAAGUCUAAAUUUGAUGAAAUGGCAAAGGUGGAUAAAGUAUGCUACGAUUGGGAAAUGAAGGAUUACGGACCAGCUAAGGGAGGCAUUAGGAUCCUUAUUCUUGCCUCCCUUAGUUGGUCCCUAAUCCUUCGUUUGGAUCCCACUGUCUGGAUUCUUCCUGCUCUGUUCCGAAUUCUGCCCUAAUAUCAAAUCCACAAACCCUGGUAUCUCUAUUGGAAAUGUCGCAAAAAGGCUGGGUGAGAUGUGGAUUAACAUGUAACAGUGAAAAGCCGCCUUACAUCACCAAGGCGACAAAGCUGAAGAAGUAUGAGAAAGAUGUUGCUGACUAGAAGAAAGUUUGAUGGUGCAAAGGGUCCUGCUAAGGUUGGCUGGAAAAACGUGGAAGAGGAAGACAAAGAUGACGAGUAGGAAGAAGAGGAUGAGAAGGAUGAAUUUUAAAAACUGUUUAUCUGUCUCCAUGUGAAUACGUUAGAGUAGGGGAGCACCUUAAUUAACACAUCAAGUGUCUGUUGCCCUCAUUAGGUUUAAUUACAAAAUUUGAUCACGAUCAGAUUGUAGUCUC